ensembl:miRNA aca-mir-124a-2 aca-mir-124a-2
CCCUCCCGGGCCCUUCUCUGCGUGUUCACAGCGGACCUUGAUUUAAUGUCCAUACAAUUAAGGCACGCGGUGAAUGCCAAGAGAGCGGCUCUCAAGACAUC